UGGGGAAUUUUCCGCAAUGGGCGAAAGCCUGGCGGAGCGACGCCGCGUGGGGGAUGAAGGCCCUAGGGUCGUAAACCCCUUUCAGUGGGGACGAAAAUGACGGUACCCACAGAAGAAGGUCCGGCCAACUACGUGCCAGCAGCCGCGGUAAGACGUAGGGACCGAGCGUUGUCCGGAAUUAUUGGGCGUAAAGAGCUCGUAGGCGGUUGCGUAAGUCGGAUGUGAAAACUCGAGGCUCAACCUCGAGACGCCAUCCGAUACUGCGCUGACUUGAAUCCAGUAGGGGAGUGUGGAAUUCCUGGUGUAGCGGUGAAAUGCGCAGAUAUCAGGAGGAACACCUAUGGCGAAGGCAGCACUCUGGGCUGGUAUUGACGCUGAGGAGCGAAAGCAUGGGUAGCAAACAGGAUUAGAUACCCGUGUAGUCC
rnacentral:rRNA from 1 species